rnacentral:rRNA from 1 species
AACGCGAAGAACCUUACCUGGGCUUGAAACGCUAGGAUUAUCUCCAUGAAAGUGGAGUAGGCCCUUCGGGGUACAACUAGUACAGGUGCUGCAUGGCUGUCGUCAGCUCGUGUCGUGAGAUGUCGGGUUAAGUCCCUUAACGAGCGAAACCUUUGCCCUUAGUUACCAUCGGGUUAUGCCGGGGACUCUAAGGGGACUGCCGGUGUCAAACCGGAGGAAGGUGGAGAUGACGUCAAGUCCUCAUGGCCUUUAUGCCCAGGGCCACACACGUGCUACAAUGGCGUCGACAGAGCGAACCUAAAACGCAAGUUCAUGGAAAUCGCAUAAAUGACGCCCCAGUUCAGAUCGGAGGCUGCAACUCGCCUCCGUGAAGUUGGAAUCGCUAGUAAUCGCGGAUCAGCUACGCCGCGGUGAAUGUGUUCCCGGGCCUUGUACACACCGCUAGUC